rnacentral:rRNA from 1 species
UACGUAGGAUCCAAGCGUUAUCCGGAAUCAUUGGGUUUAAAGGGUCCGUAGGCGGGCCUGUAAGUCAGUGGUGAAAUCCGGCGGCUUAACCGUCGAACUGCCAUUGAUACUGCAGGCCUUGAAUUAUUGGGAAGUAACUAGAAUAUGUAGUGUAGCGGUGAAAUGCUUAGAUAUUACAUGGAAUACCGAUUGCGAAGGCAGGUUACUACCAAUUGAUUGACGCUGAUGGACGAAAGCGUGGGGAGCGAACAGG